GAUGAACGCUGGCGGCGUGCCUAAUACAUGCAAGUCGAGCGAACGGACGAGAAGCUUGCUUUUCUGAUGUUAGCGGCGGACGGGUGAGUAACACGUGGAUAACCUCCCUAUAAGACUGGGAUAACUUCGGGAAACCGGAGCUAAUACCGGAUAAUAUUUUGAACCGCAUGGUUCAAAAGUGAAAGACGGUCCUGCUGUCACUUAUAGAUGGAUCCGCGCUGCAUUAGCUAGUUGGUAAGGUAACGGCUUACCAAGGCAACGAUGCAUAGCCGACCUGAGAGGGUGAUCAGCCACACUGGAACUGAGACACGGUCCAGACUCCUACGGGAGGCAGCAGUGGGGAAUCUUCCACAAUGGGCGAAAGCCUGACGGAGCAACGCCGCGUGAGUGAUGAAGGUCUUCGGGUCGUAAAACCCUGUUAUUAGGGAAGAACAUAUGUAUAAGUAACUGUGGACAUCUUGACGGUACCUAAGCAAAAAGCCACGGCUAACUACGUG
rnacentral:rRNA from 1 species